AUGUAUAAAUCACAUAAAAUACGCAAAACAAUCAAGCAAGCAAACAAAAUAAAACAAUCCAAAAUUUAGCGUCCAGUCCAAUUUAUUACAAACCGAAAUAAAAAUACUGAAAUGACCUACACUAGUCCUAAACUAUGCUUUACCCGAUACCUCGGGCCUUGAUCACGAACAUCCUUCGCGUACAAAAUUCUUCGAGGCAUUCCCCGGUGAGUAAAUACAAAUGACCUCGGGGCAUUCCCCGG
rnacentral:lncRNA from 1 species